AUCUGGCUUCUCACUGAAACUUCUUUACGGAAGAAAGUGACGCGUAUGACAGGGAGUCUAUGACUGGCAGCCAAAGCAUCCAAUAGCAUUCUUGGAACUGACCGUAAACAUUCCAAGAAAUCCAGACGCGGCCAAUUACCGGAAAGAGGGGCGGACACUUCAUCCUCUCAAGUUAGAUAGGUUCACAGAGGCCCAAACCCCGGGGUAAAAACAGAAUUAUUGCUUAGAACAUUAACGUUGGGUGGACAGUUCAGGACCGGUUAGUCUGCCGGCACCGGACAGAACCUACUAACCGCAAGACUACGACUGCGACCAGAUUAAUAUGGUCAGAAUAGGCAGAGAGGGAAUAAUGAGGUGUACCACCGGUGUAAACAGCAUUUAAAAUAAACAACACCUACCCAGAAAUUUUCUAGGAAACUCCACCUCCACCAGGCUGCGCUGCUCCUUUUCCAGCGGUUCCUUACCCAGACUCGAGACGAAACAGCGCUACCAUCGGCCGACGAGAACACAGACAGCGGCGACGGUUGGCUCGAAUGCUGCCUUCAGCAACUGGCCAUUAAAGCAGAUAAGGACCCAAGUUUGUUUUGCCACCGCAGGGAGUGAGCAGGGUGGUAAGAAAGACAUCAAUGCUGUAUAAAACCUGUGAGGUGAGCUGAAGAAAACAGAGCAUAAGAGGGGACCUGAGACUCUGGAUGAUCAACACAGUAAAUAAAGAUUUACCUAGCACCUUCAUUUCUUUGCCACAGAGCUUCUAAAAUAACACGAUAACACGUUUACUGUGAAAUGUAUAAAAUAACCUGAUUUU